rnacentral:rRNA from 1 species
CCUACGGGAGACAGCAGUGAGGAAUAUUGGUCAAUGGUCGGGAGACUGAACCAGCCAAGCCGCGUGAGGGAUGAAGGUACAGAGUAUCGUAAACCUCUUUUGUCAGGGAACAAAGGCGGGGACACGUCCCCGGAUGAGUGUACCUGAAGAAAAAGCAUCGGCUAACUCCGUGCCAGCAGCCGCGGUAAUACGGAGGAUGCGAGCGUUAUCCGGAUUUAUGGGGUUAAAAGGGUGCGCAGGCGGUCUGUUAAGUCAGCGGUCAAAGCCCGGGGCUCAACCCCGGCCCGCCGUUGAAACUGGCAGUCUCGAGUUGGAGAGAAGUAUGCGGAAGGCGCGGUGUAGCGGUGAAAUGCAUAGAUAUCGCGCAGAACUCCGAUUGCGAAGGCAGCAUGCCGGCUCCACACUGACGCUGAGGCACGAAAGCGUGGGUAUCGAACGGGAUUAGAUACCCUUGUAGUC